GCGGUUUGUGAGGGGAAAAAAUUAAAGAAAAGGGUAAAAAAUGAGAAAUAAUGAGAAAAGAGGCUUUUUCACACGGGGGGCGGUGUUUUUUGGGGGGCGAUUCUGGGGGCUGCUGCCCUUUUUUGGUGAUUUUUAGGGACUAUUUUGUCGCCCCCGCGGGAGGCGGUGCCGGGCCCUUUAUAAGGGAGGGCCCCGAGCCGGCAGCGCCCGGCCGAGAUCCAGCCCCGAUUUGGUCCAAAUUUGGCCCAAAAACCGCUCGAUUCUGAGCCGAAAGCUCUUAUAGCUGCUCGAUUUUAUCCAAAAUAGCUCCAAAAAUGGCUUUAUUUUCUAUCGAGAGCUCCAAAAAUGGCUUUAUUGCCUACGAAAAGCUCUUAAAGCUGCGGUGUUUUAUACAAAGAUCUCCUAAUAGUGCUUUAUUUCAUAAAAGCGGCUCCUAAAUGUUUAUUUGAACAAAAGAGAUAAAAGCUGUUUCCUUUAAGGAAAACUGAGCUCUUAAAGCUGCUUGCUUUCAGUAAAAAUCCUUAAAUUGCCGCGAUUCCAGUAAUGGGAAAAGCGGGGCAAGCCGGGGCGCUUUUAAUUGAAAAAAAAAAAAAUCAAUGAAAAAUCUUUAAAAAAGCUCUUAAAGCUGGUUUUUAUUUAAACCGAAGCUUCUGAUGUUGGUUUUUAAGAAAUCGCUGCUUUCAAAGCCGAUUUCUGGGAGAAAACGCAGCUCUCGCAGCUCUUUAAUGCUUAAAAUAUCAUAACGUGACAAAAAGGCCGGAGCGAGCUGGGGCGGUUUUAAUUCAAAAAGAGCUUUUUAAGCUGCUUUAAUUUAGAGAAAGAAAAAGCGCUUGAUACGCUGUUUUCUGCUAAAAAGAAAAAGCUCCUAAAUUUAAGUUUUGAAAAGCUCUUAAAGCUUGAAAAAUGUAGUUUUGUCCCCAAGUGGGGCCGGGCCGGGCAGCGCAGACGGGGGCGGCCGGUUUGGGGUGAAAUGCGGCAUUUUCAGGAUCAGGAUGGAUUGAGAGGAACCAAUUUUGAGGGAAGAGCAGGAAAACUGAAGAGUGAAGAUGGAGUCGGCAGGGAAAGGAAAGAUUUUCUUCGCAGUGACCCCAUCUGGGGGGAAAAAAGGACUUUUUGGUAAAAUGGCGGCAGUUGGGCAGGGGAGGAGCAGAGAGAAGAGAGAAAAAAAAAGAACAAAAAGAAAAUAGAAUAAAACAGAGAAAAUAGAAGAAAAUCAGAAAAAAGAGAAAAAUAGGAAAAAAUACAAAAAAGAAAAUAGAAAAAAAUUUGGAAAAAUAUAAAUUGGAAAAAAGAAAAUUGAAAAAGCAUAGAAAAAAUGGAAAAAGGAAUCUAGAAAAAAAGAUGAGAAGAAAAUCGGAAAAUAGAAGAAACUAGAAAAAAGAAAAUAGGACAAAUAGAAAAUAGAAGAAUAUAGAAAAAAUAAUGGAAAUAGACUGAAAAUAAAUAGAAAAAAACUAGAAUUGGAAAAAAUACAAUUGGGAAAAUGAAACUAGAAAAAAGAAAAUAAAAAAUGAUAGAAAAAAUGAAAAACCCAAGUGCUGAAAAUUUGAGAAGAUGGAAGUGAAAACAGGGAGAAAUGAGAAGAGAGAAAAAAAUAGAAGAGAAUAGAAGAGAGGAAAAAUGGGAGAAAAUCAAAGAGGAGAAAAUAGAAGCGAAAAAUUAUGAAAAAAAAAGAAGGAUAAAGGGAGAAAAAGGAAGAAAAAUCCCGAUUUGGGUCCCGGAGCUGGGAAAAUUGAGGAAUUUGAGGAAAAUGCCCCAAACGGAGCCGGAGGCAGCGGCCGGGUGAGGCCCCACCCCCCCCCCCCGGGGGUGUGGGAAUUUUGGGGGGAUUUGGGGGGUUUUGGGGUUUUGUCGUUUCAGGCGCCGUCGCCGUCGCCCCUUUCCCCUUCCCUCUUUUUCUAUUAAACUCCCCAGAAAUGGGGAAAACCCCCCCAAAUUCCUCCAGCACCCUCCGGCUCCGCCGCUCCCGCCGGCGCCGUUCAGGCAACAGCAAAACGCAGGGAAAAACGACCAAAAGAAAAAAAAAAUCCGGUGAGAAAAAGCCGAGGAAAGGGGGAAAAAAAAAAAAAAAAGGAAUUAACCAAAAAAAAAAAGCCAGUCUGCACUCAAAACGCGCUCAGGAGAUUCCGGCAGGGAUUUGAGGAGAACCCCCCCCAGAUUUGGGGAAUGCAGAGAAGUAAGAGUCGAUUUCAUUUCAUUUUUUGGGGAGGUCGGUUUUUGGUGGGGAGGGGGCGGUUUUGGGUUUUUUUUUCCGCCCUUUCCGCAGCCGCAAGUGAGAGGAGUCAGCAGCAUCAAAAAAGAAGCUUUUUUUGCCCCAAAGUGAAGCUGGAAGAGCAGGAAUGUGACUCCGAGAGAAUUCCCUUAGGAAAAAAAAAAAAAAGUAAAACCCCCCCCCCCAAAAAAAAAACCCACGGAGGGAGGGGCUGGAGCAGGCGUGGGGGGAGGGGACAAUAAUCAUGUUUUCAGGUUUUUUUCUCCAAAACCAGCAGCAGGAAUGGUUAAAUUUAGACUUUUGUCCCCAAAACGAGUAAGUGUAGGAGCGAGCGAGGGGAAGGAGCCUCGAAUUUGAGGCAAACCCCCCCCCCCCCCUCCAAAUCGGCGGUGGCAGGUACCGGGUGCACCCCUCCCCCAAUCCUGAGACCCACCCCACCCCCCCCCAGGGACCCGCGCGGGAGGUGGGGGAGGGGAAGGGGCGGCGGUUUUGGGGUGAUUCCGGCCGGUUUGGGGCGUCGGGAGGUGGGGAGAGGGUGGGGAACCCCCCCCCCCCCC